UUCCGGUUGAUCCUGCCGGAGGCUACCGCUAUUGGAGUUCGAUUAAGCCAUGCGAGUCGCGAGUCUUCAAGGACUCGGCGUACCGCUCAGUAACACGUGGGUAACCUGCCCUAUGCUGGGGGAUAACCUCGGGAAACUGAGAAUAAUACCCCAUAGUUCACCACGCCUGGAACGGUGGGUGGAUGAAAGCUCCGGCGGCAUAGGAUGGGCCUGCGGCGUAUCAGGUUGUAGGGGGUGUAAUGUACCCUCUAGCCAUCUACGCGUACGGGUGUUGGGAGACAUCGCCCGGAGAUGGAUUCUGAGACACGAAUCCAGACCCUACGGGGUGCAGCAGGCGCGAAAACUUGGCAAUGCGAGCAAUCGUGACCAGGGAACUCCAAGUGCAUCGGGUAAGACCGAUGCUUUUCUUGACUCUUCAAAGGUCUUGGAAUAAGGGGUGGGUAAGGACGGUGCCAGCCGCCGCGGUAAUACCGGCGCCUCAAGUGGUAGUCGCUUUUAUUGGGCCUAAAACGUCCGUAGCCGGUUUGGUACAUUCGUGGGUAAAUCAAGGCGCUCAACGUCUUGAAUUCUGCGAGCACGGCCAGACUUGGGACCGGGUGAGGUGUGGGGUACUCUCAGGGUAGGGGUAAAAUCCUGUCAUCCUGAGAGGACCACCUGUUGCGAAGGCGCCACACUAGAACGGAUCCGACGGUCAGGGACGAAGCCUAGGGGCACGAACCGGAUUAGAUACCCGGGUAGUCCUAGGUGUAAACGCUGUGGACUUGAUGUUGGGAGUGCUCCGAGCACCCUCAGUGUCGAAGCGAAGGUGAUAAGUCCACUGCCUGGGGAGUACGGUCGCAAGGCUGAAACUUAAAGGAAUUGGCGGGGGAGCACCGCAACCUGAGGAUUGUGCGGUUUAAUUGGAUUCAACGCCGG
rnacentral:rRNA from 1 species